rnacentral:rRNA from 1 species
UACGAGGGGGUCCUAGCGUUGUUCGGAAUUAUUGGGCGUAAAGAGUAUGUAGGUGGCCAGAUAAGUCAGGUGUGAAAUCCCCGGGCUCAACCCCGGGAAGUGCAUUUGAUACUGUCUGGCUUGAGUAUGGAAGAGGGUAGUGGAAUUCCUGGUGUAGUGGUGAAAUACGUAGAUAUCAGGAGGAACACCGGUGGCGAAGGCGGCUACCUGGUCCUAUACUGACGCUGAGAUACGAAAGCGUGGGGAGCAAACAGG